AGUGAACGCUGGCGGUAGGCCUAACACAUGCAAGUCGAACGGCAGCACAGUAAGAGCUUGCUCUUACGGGUGGCGAGUGGCGGACGGGUGAGGAAUACAUCGGAAUCUACUUUUUCGUGGGGGAUAACGUAGGGAAACUUACGCUAAUACCGCAUACGACCUACGGGUGAAAGCAGGGGAUCUUCGGACCUUGCGCGAUUGAAUGAGCCGAUGUCGGAUUAGCUAGUUGGCGGGGUAAAGGCCCACCAAGGCGACGAUCCGUAGCUGGUCUGAGAGGAUGAUCAGCCACACUGGAACUGAGACACGGUCCAGACUCCUACGGGAGGCAGCAGUGGGGAAUAUUGGACAAUGGGCGAAAGCCUGAUCCAGCCAUACCGCGUGGGUGAAGAAGGCCUUCGGAUUGUAAAGCCCUUUUGUUGGGAAAGAAAAGCAGCAGGUUAAUACCCCGCUGUUCUGACGGUACCCAAAGAAUAAGCACCGGCUAACUUCGUG
rnacentral:rRNA from 1 species